rnacentral:rRNA from 1 species
UGAGGAAUCUUGCGCAAUGGGCGAAAGCCUGACGCAGCGACGCCGCGUGGGGGAUGAAGGCCUUCGGGUUGUAAACCCCUUUCAGGAGGGAAGCGGUACCUCCAGAAGCAGCCACGGCUAACUCUGUGCCAGCGCCGCGGUAAAACCGGUUACUCCUACGG